rnacentral:rRNA from 1 species
GCAGCCUGAUCUAGCCAUGCCGCGUGAGUGAUGAAGGCCUUAGGGUCGUAAAACUCUUUCGCCAGGGAUGAUAAUGACAGUACCUGGUAAAGAAGCCCCGGCUAACUCCGUGCCAGCAGCCGCGGUAAUACGGAGGGGGCUAGCGUUGUUCGGAAUUACUGGGCGUAAAGCGCGCGUAGGCGGACUAUUAAGUCAGGGGUGAAAUCCCGGGGCUCAACCCCGGAACUGCCCUUGAUACUGGUAGUCUUGAGUUCGAGAGAGGUGAGUGGAAUUCCGAGUGUAGAGGUGAAAUUCGUAGAUAUUCGGAGGAACACCAGUGGCGAAGGCGGCUCACUGGCUCGAUACUGACGCUGAGGUGCGAAAGUGUGGGGAGCAAACAGGAUUAGAUACCCUGGUAGUCCACACCGUAAACGAUGAAUGCCAGUCGUCGGCAAGCAUGCUUGUCGGUGACACACCUAACGGAUUAAGCAUUCCGCCUGGGGAGUACGGUCGCAAGAUUAAAACUCA